AGGAUGAUAACGAUAUCAAGUGUAGGUCGUUGUGUGCCAUAUGCAUUGGUUGUCUUUAUAACUAAAUAGUGUGAAGAUACUGGUAUGGCAUGCAGGUGAGAUAUAGGAGUACAUCAUCACUAAACGUGACCAACUGUGGAGUACUCUACUGUCAAGAGUAGCUCGUGAAGGGUAUGGAUAUAAAUAUCCCUCCAACCUG
rnacentral:lncRNA from 1 species